CCACCAAGCCCAAUCUUUCUCUCUCUUUCUGCCUGCUGCCUGUGGAUCAGGAUGCAAAGCUCUCAGCUACUGCUCCAGUGCCACGCCUGUCUGUUUCCCACCACGGUGUUCAUGAACUAACCCUCUAAAAUUGUAAACAAGUCCCCACUCAAAUGUUUCUUUUAUAUGAGUUGCCUUGGCCAUGUUAUCUCUUCACAGCAAGAGAACAGAGGCUGGACAAAUCUCUGUCAGCAACUGUCACAACAGAUGCCAAUUGUGCAAGAAUUGUUAAUUCUUAGGGGUCAAGAAGUUUCACUAGAUUCUUGGGAGGCUAGGGUUUCCUCUUUCUUCCCAUAUUCCCAUAAUUUCUUCUGUUUCUACCCUACCCAUUUCUUCUAAUUGUGCUUAAAUUCAUAGGACAUGGAUUCUGAAAAGUUGACAUAAACUGCCUAGUAUCAAGGUAACACUUUCUGCCUUGCGGUUGUGUCUCUAGAUGUGAGCUCUCAGCUACUGCUUCAGGGCCAUGCCUGCUUGCAGCCAUGCUCUCCACCGCGAUGGUCAUGGACUCUGACCCUCUGAACUUGAUCCCAGGUAGAGGCUGAUCUCAACUGACUAUGUAAGGGAAGACUGGCCUUGAGCUUCUGAUAGCUCCUGGCUUCAUUUCCUGAGUACUGGGGUCACAGCUGUGCAUCAGAUUGAACAAGAAACACAUUUAUUAUGUAGCACUAGCUGGCCUGAUACUGUCUAUGGAGCCCAGGCUAGACUCAAUUUCUCAGCAAUCCUGGUGCAGCCUUGCCUAGCCUUGAGAUGUUUUUUUCUGUUUGUUUGUUUGGGUUUUUUUUUUGGGGGGGGGGCAAAGAAAAUGCAUGAGCCCAUGACAUCGACAGUCUAGGAGUAAGCUGUCAUUCGACCACUAAAAUUGCCUCAAAGGCAGGAUAAGAAUAAGGAGCUGCACCUAUUUUUUAAAUUUAAAAACAUUAAUUGCAUUUAUGUUGUCUCAGAGGACAACUUGCAGGAGUUGGUUUUCUCCUAUGAUUCGGGUCCCAGAGAGGGUAGAAUUCAAGUCCUUGGGCUUGGAGGCAGGCACCUUUCCAAGCUGAGCCAUCUUGCCUUCAGAUAGUGGCUUCCCCUUCCUCUGAUGGCUCUCCUUAUUAGUGACUCACACAGAGAGAGGGUUGGACUUUCUGAGUUUAGCUUUCCCCCUUCCAUCAACCCCUCCCCGCUUUUAAAAUAAAUCACCUGACUUCGCCGAAAGCUCUGGAACACACACACCCUUUGGCUGAAAGAGCGAAUUAGGCAAUCUCAGAAUUCCCCAUUCCUCUUUUCUCAGAACUCUGGAUAGCGGGAUCUCUCGGCCCAGGGAGGCUGAUGCAGUUCUUGUUUUAAAACCAGAGGGAGCUCUAAGAUCAAGACUGAGUCCCCUGUCCUGUCAUGUUGUGGUCUCCCAGCCCCCUCUGUUUGGAAACAGGGAAUUUCGGAGGGCGGA